rnacentral:lncRNA from 1 species
AUCAUCACUGGCUGGAAUUUUGGGGUGUGCAGUGUAUCCUGCUUUAUAAUAAUUGCUCAUGAUAAUAUUGCGUAUCCAUGUGACAUUGGUGACAUUAGAAUCAACCUUUAGCACUAGUGGCCAACUAGUGCACAUAGUAGAUGAAUUGGGCCAAAUAUAGCUGAAGCUCUAUUGUGUCUGUGCAAGCUUGGACCUGUGCCAACAUGAUAGGUAAUUGAUCCUCUCAAAUUUCAAUCAAUUAUUUGUUAGAGAACCAAUCUAUAUGUAUGGCAUAGCUGAAGGAACGGAUAUAUUACCAGAAGAGACUUC